GCCCAACUGCCCACGGUGUAGUAGUAAGGUAAUUUGUGACCUUUGCAGUAACUUAUAUGCAGUGAACUUGGUUCUUCGUCCUCUGGAAGGAAGAGUCAUCAUAGCCACUCUGUGCCAUGAAGAGAAUAUAUGGAUUUCACUUCUUGCUCUGGGCAAGAGAGUCACGUCCACAUCCACAUAGGCUGAUGGGACUAAAAUGGAGCAGGCUGAAGAUGGAAAGAGAUCGCCAGAAGCAAAUGUUAAGUGUCUUUGGUGCUGAUGUUCCAGUAUUAUAACUAUUGUAAUGUACCGAAACUAUGUGCACAACAAAAAUCAAACAAAUCCACCUUUAAGUAAAGGGUCUCUGGUGCUGAUGGUGGAUGUGCAAAGGUGAAGUGGGUAGGUUUUAUCAAACACAUGCAAAUUUAUGAAAUUAAUUUCACUAAUGUAAUAGCGAACUUGCACCAUAAUUAUUUGUGUGUGUGUGUGUGUGUGUGUGUGUGUGUGUGUGUGUGUGUGUGUGUGUGUGUGUGUGUGUGUGUGUGUGUGUGUUGGGAGAAUACAUGUUUGCAUAUUUUUGUCUGCAUCAGUGUGAAUUAUCAUUCAUCAUGAUAUUCAGGAAAUUGUGUGCCCUGGUUGAUUUGCGGUUACCUGAAAGUUAUUUCAGAUCACAGAAAACUAAAAUAAAGACAGAAUCUCUUCAA